rnacentral:rRNA from 1 species
CUGCGGCGUGCCUUACACAUGCAAGUCGAACGGCAGCACGGGAGCGAUCCUGGUGGCGAGUGGCGGACGGGUGAGUAACAUAUCGGAAUGUACCCAGUAACGGGGGAUAACUUCUCGAAAGAAAAGCUAAUACCGCAUACGCUCCACGGAGGAAAGAAGGGGAUCGCAAGACCUUUCAUUAUUGGAACAGCCGAUAUCUGAUUAGCCGGUUGGUGAGGUAAAAGCUCACCAAAGCAACGAUCAGUAGCUGGUUUAAGAGAACGACCAGCCACACUGGGACUGAGACACGGCCCAGACUCCUACGGGAGGCAGCAGUGGGGAAUAUUGGACAAUGGGCGCAAGCCUGAUCCAGCAACGCCGCGUGAGUGAAGAAGGCCCUCGGGUUGUAAAGCUCUUUUGUCAGGGAAGAAACGGCAGUGGUUAAUACCCAUUGCUAAUGACGGUACCUGAAGAAUAAGCACCGGCUAACUACGUGCCAGCAGCCGCGGUAAU